rnacentral:rRNA from 1 species
GAUGAACGCUGGCGGCGUGCCUAAUACAUGCAAGUCGAGCGAACAGACCAGGAGCUUGCUCCUCUUACGUCAGCGGCGGACGGGUGAGUAACACGUGGACAACCUACCUACAAGACUGGGAUAACUUCGGGAAACCGGAGCUAAUACCGGAUAAUAUAUUGAACCGCAUGGUCCAAUAGUGAAAGACGGUUUUGCUGUCGUUUAUAGCUGGAUCGGCGCCGCAUUAGCUAGUUGGUAAGGUAACGGCUUACCAAGGCAACGACGCGUAGCCGACCUGAGAGGGGGAUCGGCCAAACUGGAACGAAGACACGGUCCAGACUCCUACGGGGGCCGGCAGAGGGGAAUCUUCGGCAAGGGGCGAAAGCGUGACGGGGCAACGCCGGGUGGGGGAUGAGGGUCUUGGGUUCGAAAGACUCGGUGAGUAGGGAGGAAGAAAGGUGUAAGUAAAGGGGCGCGUAGUGACGGUACCUAAUCAGAAAGCCACGGCUAACUACGUG